AACGAACGCUGGCGGCAUGCCUAACACAUGCAAGUCGAACGAGAUCUUCGGAUCUAGUGGCGCACGGGUGCGUAACGCGUGGGAAUCUGCCCUUUGGUUCGGAAUAACAGUUGGAAACGACUGCUAAUACCGGAUGAUGACGAAAGUCCAAAGAUUUAUCGCCAGAGGAUGAGCCCGCGUAGGAUUAGCUAGUUGGUGUGGUAAAGGCGCACCAAGGCGACGAUCCUUAGCUGGUCUGAGAGGAUGAUCAGCCACACUGGGACUGAGACACGGCCCAGACUCCUACGGGAGGCGGCAGUGGGGAAUAUUGGACAAUGGGCGAAAGCCUGAUCCAGCAAUGCCGCGUGAGUGAUGAAGGCCUUAGGGUUGUAAAGCUCUUUUACCCGGGAUGAUAAUGACAGGACCGGGAGAAUAAGCUCCGGCUAACUCCGUGCCAGCCGCCGCCGUAA
rnacentral:rRNA from 1 species